rfam:Gossypium arboreum cultivar AKA8401 contig_140613_1, whole genome shotgun sequence.
AACCCAUGGUGAGGGAACCUUCUUAGUAAGUUCUUGUAUCUCUCCCAUGCAUCGUAAGGUGUUUCUAAAUCCAUCUGCACAAAAGAAGAGAUAUCAUUACGCAAUUU